CUGGAUGAGGAUCUUAUAUUUCAGACGGCACUUGACGCAGUUCCGUUGGCUUUACUUCUCGUGUGUGGAGCUCGUCUUCCAGAGGCAGAUCAAUGCAGAAUUUCAAAGAACAACUACUGUACUUCUGGUACCGAAAUUUAUGUCUGUGUUUGACUGUCACACUCCCAAGCUACUGACGCCAUUUUGUGCCAAAGAUGGAGCACUUGGAAGAAGACUGGAGAUCAUAAUGGAAAUGCUGCAGUGAUUGACUUCCUCCCCAGCACUCUUCGAUUGAGAGGACCAGAGAGAUUGUUCCUCGGUAUCUUACAAAAAAUACCUUGGAGAACAAGGGGGACAUCUUAUCAAAGAAUUCAACGACACUGAGAACUUGGAGGAACUUGAACAGCUCAUAAUGGCCAUUAAUGUGACCCCAAAGCGUGGAGCUUCUACAAGCAACUGCCCAAAGAACAUUGGGAUCCUCAUUAAGGGCGUGGAAGUCAUCACAGGACUUGGAGAUAUUGCAAGGGCUUGCAUUGUCCUCUUUGGCUUGACCUACGCGCUGAAUCUUGAUUAUCCCAGACUACUGAAGUACACCUUUGAGGUGUUCCAAUUUUUUUUCUUGGAACUGGAUGAUUCAAAGCUUUCUAACAAAGUCCAGUCCCUCAAGAACAAACUUCAGGCUUGAAAUGGGACUGUAUUGCAGUGCAGACUUUUGUGCUACACAAUGUUCAUCUUCUACAGAGCUUGGGAAUUGCACAUUUGAAAGUGCUAUGUUUGUAAGUUGGCACUGUUUUGUCCAAAAAAUGUCGUACAUUUCAAUUGUUGUAAAUUCAAAGUACAAAUGUAUUUUACUCAGUACAAUUUGCACUUUUAUUAUUUAUGUUUUGGCACAUGCCAUUAUGGAGUAUUUUUCUUUAAGAUCUUUACUGCUCCUUUUUUUUUUAAGUUGAAGUCAGCAUUUUGUCC